AUUGAACGCUGGCGGCAGGCCUAACACAUGCAAGUCGAGCGAGCGGCGGACGGGUGAGUAAUGUAUGGGGACUGCCCGAUAGAGGGGGAUAACUACUGGAAACGGUGGCUAAUACCGCAUACUAUCGGAUAACCCAUAUGGGAUUAGCUAGUAGGGGGGGUAAAGUAUCACAUAGGCGACGAUCUCUAGCUGGUCUGAGAGGAUGAUCAGCCACACUGGAACUGAGACACGGCCCAGACUCCUACGGAGGCAGCAGUAGGGAAUAUUGGGCAAUGGACGAAAGUCUGACCGAGCAAUGCCGCGUGAGUGAAGAAGGUUUUCGGAUUGUAAAGCACUGUUGUUAGAGAAGCGGUAUCUAACGAGAAAGCCACGGCUAACUACGUGCCAGCAGCCGCGGUAAUAC
rnacentral:rRNA from 1 species